GUCCCUCCCAUCUUAGCAUCAUCUGUGCAAUUGCUCCAGCUGCUCCUAUACAUGUUGACAGCUGCAUCACCUUGGGACGCUUGCAGAUCCCAGCCCACCCUUCCCCUUCAGCAGGGAGCUCGGCACUUCUCUCCGCUCCUCCCAGAAACCCGUUGCCGACAUGUCUGAUACCGAGGAAGUG